rnacentral:tRNA from 1 species
GCUCGGGUGGUGGAAUGGUAUACACGCAGCACUUAAAAUGCUGUGGCCGCAAGGCCAUGUGGGUCCGAGUCCCACCCCGAGCA